GCCGUGGUGAUGAAAUUGGUAGACAUGCCACCUUGAGGGGGUGGUGCCCGCAAGGGUGUGUGAGUUCGAAUCUCAUCCACGGUA
rnacentral:tRNA from 1 species